UACGGAGGGGGGCUAGCGUUGUUCGGAAUUACUGGGCGUAAAGCGCACGUAGGCGGCUUUGUAAGUUAGAGGUGAAAGCCCCGGGCUCAACCCGGGAAGUGCAUUCGAAACUGCCAGGCUAGAGUGUCGGAGAGGUUGGUGGAAUUCUCGGUGUAGAGGUGAAAAUUCGUAGAUAUCGAGAGGAACACCGGUGGCGAAGGCGGCCCGCUGGGGCAGUGGCUGACGCUGAGGCGCGACAGCGUGGGGAGCAAACAGG
rnacentral:rRNA from 1 species